CCUACGGGCGGCAGCAGUGGGGAAUCUUUCGCAAUGGACGCAAGUCUGACGGAGCAACGCCGCGUGAGGGAGGAAGUUUUUCGGAACGUAAACCUCUGUUGUUCAUGACGAACGAGCUGUUUAUCAACAACGAAGAGCAAUGACGGUAGUGAACGAGGAAGCCACGGCUAACUACGUGCCAGCAGCCGCGGUAAUACGUAGGUGGCAAGCGUUGUCCGGAAUUAUUGGGCGUAAAGGGCAUGUAGGCGGUUUGGUAAGUCGGUCGUGAAAAUGCGGUGCUUAACGCCGUAUGGCGAUCGAAACUGCGGAACUUGAGUGCAGGAGAGGAAAGGGGAACUCCCAGUGUAGCGGUGAAAUGCGUAGAUAUUGGGAAGAACACCGGUGGCGAAGGCGCCUUUCUGGACUGUGUCUGACGCUCAGAUGCGAAAGCCAGGGUAGCGAACGGGAUUAGAUACCCGAGUAGUC
rnacentral:rRNA from 1 species